AGUAUGUCCUCUUGAUGGAUUCCCUGACAAUAAACAAUUAAUGCCACCAGAAAGCAGAGGCAAACACCAGAUAUGGUAUUUUCCUCUAAGAAAACUGACAGCAUUUGUUGUGGUGUAGAUGGAACACAACAUCUCCCCAGAGCCUCAUGCUAACAGAGAUUUGCUUGCUGUUCAGGCACCUCAAGUGAACAUUCUCUGAAGAGGGCUCAGGCCUCACAAAGAAGGGCACAGGAGGGAAAGGACCC